rnacentral:lncRNA from 1 species
CUAGCCCCCACGUCUUGUCAACUUUGAGCCCUGAAUCUGUCUACCCACCUCUGGGCCCCGGACCCCUCCACCCCGGACCUGGGAAGGGGCCCCUUACCUGAUCCCCAGAAGCCCUUGGCCUGUCCAAACCUGUCUCCAUACUCAGCGAGGUUUUCCAAGUACAGACUGACUGAGGGCCCCUGCGGCAGCCCUGUGCUGACAUCCAUUGCCCCAAGGACAAAGACCUGGGUCCUCAGUCCCUCCACGGCAGCCUGCACCCAAGUGCCCUCGCUGAGCUCCAGCCACCGGCUCUGCUGGGCAGAAGUGACCAUGUGAUACGGAGCUCCUGCCUCCCCGGAGCCGGAUGUUCCAUGGCUGCGUGUGCCCUACAGCAGCACAGUUCAGUAGGCAGAGGCCACUUCUACUACUUGGCUAAGGAAAAGAUGGGCAGAGCCUGCUCUGGAUGACGCUGUGUUCCAGCCGGCGGAGAGGGUCCCCCAUUUCCUCGGAACUAAUCCUCCAGGAAAUUAACAGAGAGUUUGCUGUGGACAACUGGAGCCCUCCCCUUCCUCAGCCCUGAGCUAGGUAAACAAGUCUGCUCUGCCUUCCGGAAGUUUCAAAUUAGCUCUGCAACCAGCAUCUUCACGCAGCUUCUAGUCCUGCCACAGUCUUGAAGAAGAGAUCAGCUUUCAAGUCUUCAUUCUUGUCAAGAUUAGCUGCCCCUCGAAUCUCCUGUGUGUCAUUAAUCCCAGCACGAACAAGCACUCGGGAACUGCGGGCUGCAGAUGGUGUGCUUAUCCCGCGGAACCCUCCUCUUUUGAGGCUUAACCCCUUUAGUUUUUGUUGCUUCUGCAGCUUUUUGAUGCCAUUAAAGAGAUGAUUUUUAUA